rnacentral:rRNA from 1 species
GACGAACGCUGGCGGCGUGCCUAACACAUGCAAGUCGAACGGGGUGAUGACUUCGGUUAUCACUUAGUGGCGAACGGGUGAGUAACGCGUGAGGAACCUGCCUCUCAGUGGGGGACAACAGUUGGAAACGACUGCUAAUACCGCAUAAAGUAUUCGAAGGGCAUCCUUUGGAUACCAAAGAUUUAUUGCUGAGAGAUGGCCUCGCGUCUGAUUAGAUAGUUGGUGAGGUAACGGCUCACCAAGUCGACGAUCAGUAGCCGGUCUGAGAGGAUGGACGGCCACAUUGGGACUGAGAUACGGCCCAGACUCCUACGGGAGGCAGCAGUGGGGAAUAUUGGGCAAUGGGGGGAAACCCUGACCCAGCAACGCCGCGUGAAGGAAGAAGGCCUUCGGGUUGUAAACGUUCUUUUACCUAGGACGAACACAAUG